AGUGAACGCUGGCGGUAGGCCUAACACAUGCAAGUCGAACGGCAGCACAGGAGAGCUUGCUCUCUGGGUGGCGAGUGGCGGACGGGUGAGGAAUACAUCGGAAUCUACUCUGUCGUGGGGGAUAACGUAGGGAAACUUACGCUAAUACCGCAUAUGACCUACGGGUGAAAGCAGGGGACCUUCGGGCCUUGCGCGAUUGAAUGAGCCGAUGUCGGAUUAGCUAGUUGGCGGGGUAAAGGCCCACCAAGGCGACGAUCCGUAGCUGGUCUGAGAGGAUGAUCAGCCACACUGGAACUGAGACACGGUCCAGACUCCUACGGGAGGCAGCAGUGGGGAAUAUUGGACAAUGGGCGCAAGCCUGAUCCAGCCAUACCGCGUGGGUGAAGAAGGCCUUCGGGUUGUAAAGCCCUGUUGUUGGGAAAGAAAUCCAGCUGGCUAAUACCCGGUUGGGAUGACGGUACCCAAAGAAUAAGCACCGGCUAACUUCGUGCCAGCCGCCGCUGUAA
rnacentral:rRNA from 1 species